rnacentral:tRNA from 1 species
GUGGUCGUAAUUUAAAAAAAAUACUAGAUUGUGAUUCUAGACAUGAGAGCUUAUCCCCCUCCGACCACC